UUAACUUUGUAAUACUAAGUAAUCUUUUCCCUAUUCUGUUUUCUUUCUCUUAGAUGCUACCCAUAGAAAAGUCAGAGUUUUCCUGUUAAGUCUCUUUCUGGGUUCCCACCUCAUCUGCAAUUUUUAUAAAUAUAUAUAUAUCACCAUAUGAGUUAACCAACAGAAUUAUAGAAUUGAUAUUGUGUAUCUGGUCCUAUGCUAGGUUACACUUAAGUGAGGGUUAGAAAUGAUAUACAGUAAUCCUAUAUAUAAUCUUAUCCCCUAGAUGGUUGUAUUGUUGAGCUAAUAUAAGCACACUUGGAAUAAUUUUAGGAAAUGAUAAUCAAGUGCUGUCUUGUGUGAAUUAUGUUAAACUUUUAUAAAGGGAGCCUACCAGGGUUUGAAGUUGACUGUAAACUUGAAGGAGUUGGGUUUACUUUUUCUCUUUGGUUUAGGAUAUGAUUAAUAUUGGAGUCAUCUGGGUAGUCCAGUUGGUUUAUUUAAUGCCAUUCGGUUUUUACUUCUUUUGGAGGCAUGUAAAUCUAAUAAAGAGAUAAGGCCUAGUCAUUGUGUUUGACUACGUGCCAUGGCUGGCAAAUUGUUGAUUGUUAAAUCUCAUAAGCUUGAGCUUUUCAAGGUUCUGGUAUUGCAGAUAUAAUUCUGAUAUGUUGGUUCUUUGUACCUUUUUAUUCUAUCUCUGCCCAAGAACAGAUGAGAGUAGCGAUGAUGCCUUUUUUAGUUUGAGAUGUUUGUGGAACCUGUUUGGCAAGAGGGCAAUGGAAAAGUGGAUGAAUUCUGAGCCAGUUUGGAAGCCCUACUUAGGAAUGAUGCGUCAAUCAUAGGUGGAUUGAAUUCUGCACUAGAAAGCAUCCAAAGGACAUUCUGAACAUGUGAGACCUGACGACUACAAGCAGCUCUAAGAAGCUCCAUAUUCAGCAGAUCUUUCCUUUUGAAAAUCUGAAUAAGCUCCAACUAAUCUAAGGACGGCUUGCAGACUACGUGGAGAAAAAGAUCUUCCUCAGAAGAAAGGCUUGUUGCUUUUCAGUGUUAGUGACCUAUUCCCUUUGACGAUCCCUAGGUGGAGAUGGGGCAUGAGGAUCCUCCAGGGGAAAAGCUCACUACCACUGGGCAACAACCCUAGGCCAGGAGGUUCUUUCUACCAAGAUUCUUUCCUGGGCCCAGAUAAGAAGGUGAAGUCUCAAGACGUUCUCCGUACAUCAGAGGUGGUGGCUCCUGAUUGUUCCCUUUAUAUCUACCAAAUCAUUAAUCUUUCUCAAAAGCAAUGCAAAGAGCAAGAAAUUUGAAGACCCCAGAGGAAGAUCAACAUGCUUGGCACUCUAGCAUUUUAGAAUAGCAGAAUGAAUGUAUCUUGUCUCUUCUACUUCUAAAUGUUUGCCUUGGCUUACCUCUUUCACUCAUAAGUGUGUAUUUCUUUGCUUGUCUAUUUCUUCCUUGAAUGUCUUUGGUCUUUGUUCGCUAAAGUGUGUUUUACCCAAUUCCAUGAUCCUCUUGCAUCUUAUCUGUGUAUCUUUGUUUCGUUUUUUUGUUUGUUCAUAAGAGUCAUUUGUGCCUUGUCUUAGAUGUCUCUCAUUUUUUCCCUUUGUUACUAAUUGUCUUUGUUCUAGAUCUGACUCUUCUUUCACUCUUCUUCCCAUUGUGUCUCUGAGUCACAUGCUUUUGCUCAUUCUUUGUCUUGUCUAUCUCUUUUUUUCUCUUUCGAACUCUGCUUACUCAUUACCCUCUCCCAUUUUUUCUCUUUCGAACUCUGCUUACUCAUUACCCUCUCCCAUUUUGUUAGUUUGACAUUUUACUUUUUUCUGAUUCUGGCCUCCCUUCUGCUGUUUCUACUCUUCAUCUUGGAUAUCUCUUUUCUACGUGUCCUUUCUGCUUCUCUUGGGCCAUUUUCUCUCCUUUUUCCUGCUCUGUGUGCCUCAGUGUCUCUUUGUUCUUUGUGUCUUUCCGUUUAAACUUUCCUCUCUCUGUUUUCUUUGUUUCUUUUGCUUUUCUUCCACCCACCUUUGGGUAGUUCAAUCUCUUCAUGAGUCUGUGUCUCCCCCCUUUGAUUUCCUGAAAUCUUCUCUCCUUGUGUAUUUUUUGUACAUGUGUGUACACCCAUUGUGUGCAUGUUUGUGUUUGUGACAAAGGGGCUUCCUAACCCCUUCCCAAUAGGUGCAGAGUGUCUGCUAUCAAAAGAAGCAUUGAAGAGCUGUUCCUUAUGCCAGGCCAUCCUGUGAAAUAAUCCAAAACUAAAAGAAGGCCCAAGGGUCCAAAGACUUAAGAUGGACAAAAGGUAGAAGGCCCAUAGUGGGUAGAAGUCCCAACACAGAAGAUAGAACCAUGAUGUACAUACAGAAAGUGGCCCUUGUUGGACAGAAGACCUGACUAAGUUGGAUGGAAGUCUCAUGUCUUGAGUUAGACAGAAGGCUGAAGACUCAGGAUGAGAGGAUGAAGACCUGAGUGGGGACACAUGGAAGGCCUGAGACCUGAGACACAAGGCCUAAGACCUGAGAUAAAAAGCCUGAGCUUGAAGACCUAAGAACCGAAGAUAAGGAAUCCCUACAUGCACAUAAAAACCCAGGAGUCAAGUGUCUCUACAUGGACUCAAAGGCCCAAGAGAGACAGAUAUAUUAAGACUAAAUUAGGUGGGAAACUGGAGUCCCAUGACACAGAAUCUCAGAAGACUGGAAACCCCAAGACCGGAAGAAAUCCCAAUAUGAGAACCCUAAACCUCAUUUCUAUUCUACUGGUAUCUUCCCUACUGUUGGACAUGUUUAGUUCUCCCUUUCCAGUUUUCAAAUCUCCAUUUAAGCCCACUUACUUUGAGAUGUCCUUUUUGAUGAUGUUACUACCUUGAAGAGAUAUCUUGAGAUUGGCAAUAUUAUGCCUGGGCCAGUCUAAGGCAGUUUUUAUCAGAGUUUUGAGUCAUUAAGUUUUAGGUAUUUUUUAAAAACUUCAUUUCUUUUCACCUCCACUCUGUUUGAGAGAGACAAAUGGGUGAAAUUGUAUUUUAGUCCUCCCUUUUCGUAAGAGGCUCUAGGCUUAUGGGGGAGAAAAGUGCCAGGCUAUCUAAAGAAAAUGUGAAGAGAUGCUCCAGACCAAUGAGAACAAUUAGAUAAAAAGUACACAGAUGUGCCAGCCUGCUGAGAAGUACCAGCCAGCAACACCUGACUUCUUUGAGCUUGAGUGAGCAGAAUUCCUGGGGUUUGGGAAUCCUAGUGAUGGUUACAAAAAAGAACAAGUAAGCCUGGAACAGAAUGAGGCUCUAAGGAGACACCCUGAACUCCCUGCUCAUAGUAGUGGCCUAAUAAUUUGGUAAACUGCACCAGCCCUGCCCUGGGGUUUAAUACCAACCUCUAGGCUUAAAGGUGACAGAACUGGGAAGUAUUUAGCAGAUUUAAACUUUCCUUGUCUCCCCCACCUUACCAUAACGAAAGAAUUUAAAUGAUUGAGAAUAUAUAUGAAAGCAAGGUGUUCUCAUUAAUAGUGUAUUGGCAGUCAUGCAUAGCUAAUAUUUAUAAGUACAGUCAGUUGUGAAUCAUUAUAUACAUCAGGAGUCCUCACACCCUUUCUCCGAAGGGUGAGAUGGCAAAUAUUUUAGUCUUUGCAGGCUUUAUGGUCUACAUUCUCUCCCCUCAAUCCUUUAAAAUGGAAAAGCUAUUCUUAACUCUUUAACCAAGUGUAUUUGGUCUGUGGGCCAUAGUUAUUCCUGUUGUAAAUGUUAAAUAAUAUUAAUUUCCUUGUGUGGGCCUGUCUCUGUGCUAGGCACAAAGGACUCAAUGAUUAUUUAUGAUCAUAUCCAGGUGACCUGAAUAAAAAAUGUGAAUAUGCUUUUAAACUAUGAAAGUGCUUAAACACAAGUUUAAGAGUUGAUGAACGAAUAUUGAUUACAAAGUAUAUACAUUCUACUGUCUAAGCACAGUGGAUACAAAGAUUAGAAGAAGCAUGAAUGAAGUGCUUUGUCCAAAUUACAUAAUACUAUGCAGAUAUUAGGAAUUAAAUAAUUGAUAAAUGAAAAUUUGUUUGUAGCCAUCGUGUUUCUGCUGCUUUGGUGAUUUUGAAUAAAAAUGCAGUAUUCCAGGUAGCAGAAAAGAAAACACAUGGAAACUACUUUAAACUAUAAACUAUACAGCAAACACAAGGGAUUAAGCUAUUGCGAUGACUUCCAAUAUACUAGAUAACAUGCUAGGCACUACGGAUAACAGGAAAAAGCAUUCUCAGUAGAGAAUUUAAAAUUUCAGAUAAGUGCAUUUUAAAGUGGUUUGUAAACUAAAGCACUAAAUACCAAUGGGCUAAAUGUUUAUGAAUGAAUGAAUGAAUAAAUACUUCCAGCUAUUAUUUUGGGUUCUGUGAAAUCUAAGAUAAUGCUCCCAAGUAAUAAGAAGGAGGUUUAUAUUCUGCAUUAUUUAGAUGUAAAGAAUUAGAUAUUGCUUAUUUUAAUCAGUCAAGACUUUACUGGUGAUAACAAGUUAUUACCAGUAUAUUUUCCCAGAUAACAAGAAAAUAUAAUGAAUGAGCUUGAGCUUUCUAAACUAUAAAGUGUUGUAUAAAUAUGACAUAAGACGUUUUCUGUGUGAAUAAAACUUUCUGUGAGUUAAGCGUUGUCUGUAAAAUUCUGAUUAUAUGCUUGACCCACUACGAGAGAGGUCGUAUAAAUAAUUAUACAAACUGAGCGUUUGAUUACUUAUUUAAUGAACUAGUAUCAGUUCCUACUAUGCGAACUAACUGGUACAGGUACUAAAGAGAUACACACAUUUAGUGUGCCUACAGUUGAGAAUAAGGCAAUAAAUAUGUUAGCAUUUUGUGAACUCUAAAGCACCAUAUAAAUGUAACUUGAUUUUCUCAUUUGGUGCCAAGUACUAUAAAAACUUGAAGUAUUGUUAACUAUUGAACACUCUGACUAUAAUAUGUAAAAGAUUAAAUUUAUGAUGAAUUCAAGGCUGGAUAAUGUCUACUAUGUGCCAGUCUUUGCUAGGCAUCAAGGAUCUGAAAAUAAAACAUCUUUAUUGUGUUUGUAAAUGUUAAACUGCCAUACAAUGUAAGCAAUAUCUGCUGUAUGAAUAUUGAUGAUUUACUCUCUCAUAUCCCCAGAAAGCAACUAGUGAUACAAAAAUUAAUUACCCUUAUUAUUGAACCUGCAACAGAGAUCUGCGUAAAUUUAGAAAUCUUUGUGUUCUAUAUAGAUAAAAGGAAUUAACUGUUGCCUUAGUGAAUGACUGAUUACUUUCUAUGAGGCUCAAAACUGCACAAAAAUGAUUUUAUCAUUAUUGGAUGCUUAUAGGAGGAAAUGAUGUAAUAGAUGUGAGAUCUAUACUAAAAGGUACUUAACUACUGCCAGGCUUAUGUAAUGAUGAAAACAUGGGGAAAAUAGAAUUGUGCAAAGCAGUAUGCUAAAUGCUGAGCUUAGGUGUAAAGAUACCAUCUAGACCAAAAAGCUACUUGCUCCCUGGCCUAAGUGAAGAGAUGGGAAAAUUUUUUUAAAAAAAAACAAGGUGUUCCGGUUUUCCGUUAGAUUUUUAAAUUCUUAAUGCUGAAGAUGGAGGUGAAUUAGCUUCACCUUGGCCUGGCUAGAGACAUUUAAAGAGUAAAAAUAAAUGGCUCAGCAUUGCUUUUGGAUUUACUUGACAAACAUGGCAUAUUUUAUAUGGAAUAAAUAAUUCUAGGUCCUGAGCAUAAGAGCAGUGAAAUGGGCCUAGUGUAAAGAUCUUUAUAUCAGUCACAGAUCAUAGCUGAAGAUAUGAAAACAUCUUUGAUUUUUGAGUAAAUAUCGGAGUGCCUGUUUUCUGGGAAGUACUAUGCUCAUUUAAUUAGUCGAGUAGGCAUGGUUCAGAAAACCCAUCGACUUGCUUUGGAGAUAAAAACAAAAGGGGGAAAAAGUCAUGGUUCUUUUAAUAUAAAAUGACAUUUUCCCUAAUUCUAAAAAGUCCCAAUAUCACUUGCUCAUUGACCUAAAUUGAAGCCAGAAGACUGAUAAAAGGGCUCAGGAUUUGUCCUUAAUUGAUUAAGAUUCUGCUUUAAUUAUUAUUAUGCAGUUUAUGAUGAGAAUUAAGAUGAAACAACUGGUAAAGUUAUUUGCUCAUUGGCCUGGCUUAGAGUCAGGAAGCCAGUUGAGCAAUAAGAACUUUUUUUUCUAUAUUUUGUAAACAUUUAUUCACUCCGAAUAAAGUACUGUCCUUAAGUACUAAGGAGAAUUAAGAGAUUCAAAACAACAAAGUGCACUUUAAUCUCAGUAGCUUAUGGUUGAAACACAAGAACAAAUUUUAUCAUUGCAGGUCUUUCAUUAGAUGAAAAAAAUUAAUUGACCAGCUGUGAUAUUAAGACACAGAGGGAAUGGUUAAAUAGAUCACCUUCUCUUUGACGUGUUUUAUAGAGGAGGAAUGAGAGCUUUUUAUUUAUUCAUUAAUACAAACAUUGGAGAAGGUGAUGCUAAAAGAAAUAGAUCUGUUGCAAAGGCAUUUUGUCUUGGAGAUGCAAUAAAAAAACAAGAAUGAAACUGGUCAUUAAACAGAAGUGUCUAUUUCAAGGCAAUGUGCUAAUUUCUAGGCAAGGAAUAAAAAAGGGUCUUAACUGAAAUACAAUUUUUUUUUAACUGGCUUGGAGGCUAGAAUAUGGAAGAGUUUACUGUUCCUUCACUUUUUUUUUUCAUUUAUUCAUUCAUUCUACAAGUAUAAUUGAGUACCUAUUAUAUAUAAGGUUUUGCUGGGUUCUCACUUGGCCCAAGAGAUGAAAAAUGAAUGCUUUCCCAGAGAAAUUGUAAAACUUUCCUUUAGAGUUGUUUUCUUGUUAGGGGUUUUUAGCCCCUGGAUAACAUUGUGUGGUUUAAUUCCUACUCCAUAUUUCUUCUGUCAUUCUGGCCACUACAAUAAGCAGGGUUUUUCACUGAGCUUGCUCCUUAAAUUACAGGAGCCUUUCUUAUAAUAGACCAUUUUUCCUAGCCCGUCGCUCAUGAGAAAUGGCUGUGGCCAUUGUUGGGCAGAAGGAGGGAUGACAACUAAUUCCCAAACCCCAGUCUCAAUGGUACCAUCCUUGGGGAACCACCCAUACUCAAACCACAAUUGGUUUUGAAACAUUCACCAGUUUUGUCUAUUUUCAAUUCUUUAUUCUUUACAUUCUGACAAAUACACACUGCCUAAGUAGAUCUCUGAAGAACAAUCCCCAGAUAGCAAGAUUGGAGAUGGAGACAUGAUAUCUCUUUAACAACAAACUUUCUACUUAAACCUUAGAAAUUGCCUCUCAGCAUCAAACUUGGUCACAAAAGGACUUAUUGUGGUACAGUACUGUCAUUGAAUGAAAAAAUGAAAAUGGCUUAACAAUUUUUACCAUGCUUAAAUUUUAAGAAUAAUAAAAACUAGAAGUAAUUGGCAAAAAUUGGAGGGAAAAACACCAAACAAACAAAAAGUUAAAAUCCAAACUUCUAAAUCUAGGCCCAACUGGGUUUUGACCUUUUCUAUUUUUAAAUCACUCACAGAGGGUGGGAUAGGAGGAAGAGUGAAAGAAAAGGUCAAACCUAUUUCUAAGGGCAGCCUGGCUUUGUUUUGGAUUGGUCUUGAGGUAUUAGUACCUCCAGGAAUAACUUGGGUAUUGCUUUUUAAAAAUUUAAUGGAAUUAAAAUAACUGGUCAUUGUUGA